ensembl:lncRNA
AUUUUUUUCAUGCUACUCACACAUCCUUAAAACUAGAGCAAGCAUUUUGCAGACUACAAGCAUACUCCAAGAAGCCAAACUUCACACCUCCAAACUUUAUUUGGAUUAAAUACUGUUCUGCUAGAUAGAAGCAGUGAUUCUGCUCAUCAGACAUACUGCUGCCUCAUCAAGAAUUGCUAUGUUUAUUUUGCCAGAGGCUGUAUCUUCAGAAAGGCUGAAGCAUUACAAAAAUAUUGAGGAUGGAUGGACUGAUAGAUGAACACAAAGACAAUGUGAUUGCAUUCACCUCUCGCAAGAAACCAAG